rnacentral:rRNA from 1 species
UACGUAGGGCGCAAGCGUUGUCCGGAAUUAUUGGGCGUAAAGAGCUCGUAGGCGGUCUGUCGCGUCCGUUGUGAAAACUCGAGGCUCAACCUCGGGCUUGCAGUGGAUACGGGCAGACUAGAGUGCGGUAGGGGAGACUGGAAUUCCUGGUGUAGCGGUGGGAUGCGCAGAUAUCAGGAGGAACACCGAUGGCGAAGGCAGGUCUCUGGGCCGCAACUGACGCUGAGGAGCGAAAGCAUGGGGAGCGAACAGG